CCAAGACCUGCAGCCAAGCUGGCCAGCCCUGGAGUUACCACCCUUCCACCAGAAACACCUGGCGCCUGUGUCUCUGAAGCACUGUUAAGCAUAUGGCUUUGGGGACUGACUCUUGCGCCAACUUUUGAAAAGUCAGCCCCCACCCAAGCUGGGCCCUUCUGAGCAGAGGCGGUGGAGGUGAGAUUGGCCAAAGCCACUGUGCCGAGAACUCACCUUUGUUCCUGUCUCUUGUUUCCAUCUCCCCACCCGGCGCUAGAGCGGGAGGGGCUGUAGUGGUUCCCAGGUGUGCCUCACCCAUCUCCAGACUCUCAGGGAGGAGGGCCAGUUGGGCGGCCUCUGUCCCUUCCCCACAUCAUGCUCCUUCCCCCACUCUUAUCUUCUUUUGGCCUCUGCUGGAAACAACCAUUGAUCAUCUCGUGACCCCAGAGGAACAAUCUUAUCAGUUCUAAUCACAAGAGGAAGUGGCGAUGGGGGGCAGUGACGGGGUGAUCUCCCUUCUGAGAACACACUUGCCCAGGAGAUGCUGGCUCUGGAGUGCCCCAGAGCUUCCUACCCUCUGGGAGCAGAGUCCACAGGGUCAGCCCCUGCUCCAGCCAAGCUCAGUCAGGACCUUUCUGCUGGCAGAAGGGAAGGGGGCAUCUCCCACCUACUCUGAACCCCAUGUGUGCUGGAGUCACGGGAGACUCUGGGCCCGAGGUUUUCUGUGGGUUUCUGGAUGGCUGUAACUGGAGCCAGCUAUGUGGGGCUUUGUCCCUUGGGACACACUGGCAGGAGCCCCAAGAACCUGUAGCCAAGCUACUCUGUCAACCCCCACCUGCAGCCAAAUCCGGGUCUCCUUGUCCUAAGGCUCAGAGGCAGGACAGGUUGUCAAGUGUGGGAGUUGGAGACUCUACGCUGUGUGCUGUGGGUAGGGGUUCACAACCCACUCUCCACUUUCCCAGGAAGGUGUCUUCACCUCCAAGAUUUGAGUUUUUUUAAAAACGUGGCGACAGUCUCUGCUUUCUAGGGCUGCUGUUAGGCCAAGAGAGACCUGUACUGGUGGGGAGCCAUGGAGGGGCAGAGUGGAGCUACAGGCACGAGAAAGGCUUGAGCCCCCGGGGCAGUCAGCUAGCAUCUUAGGGGGAGCCUGGGCUGGAGCCCCCGUGCCCCUCUCCGGGCCUGCUGUCAGGGGGGCCAGCAGCCACAGCGGCCAGGGCAGAGGGCAGGGAGGUCUUUGUUCCACCAGUGGGAAGAGACAGGCAUCAGCUGACAAAAGCAUGUCAGCUGGCAUGUCAGGGGUCCAGGUGGAGCGGAGGUUGGCCCUCAGCCCACGUAGGUUUCCGGGGAGCUAAGUGUGUGUGUUGGGGGGG